UGGGGUUUGUGUGCUUGUGGUCAGCAUGUAGUCACCAUCCUCUACCUGGGUGAGAGUCAUAGUUUCUUCUGAAGAACAACUCGGAGAUACACACCAGAUUACUAUGCACAUCCCAUGGAAAGGAAAACUUGAGAAAGAGCUGACAGGAGACCUGUUGCAAAACUAAAGAAGGAAAAGAAUCAGACUACGGAAAAACUCAUCUGUUAUUGGCCAUAUUUUCAUGUUUUGGAAAAUAUACUGGUUUAUCAUUCAAUCACACAUUAA